rnacentral:lncRNA from 1 species
GUGGUGCCACGCUCCUGCUGCGACCCGCGUGGCGGUCAGGGCCCUGCCCCAGCCCUAGCCCGUCCAUCCCCUGGCUGGGCCCAGAGCAGCUCCUGGGGCAGACGCAGCGGACCAGCCGGAUGCCCCGUCCAGACCAGCAUGUCUCAGCCGGGGCCACUGGACACAUCAGAGACAUGUUGGGUGCCGGACUAGGGGCCCUUCGGGCACAGGCCAGGGACACCGCUAAACACCCUCCAACGCACGGCAGCCCCCACAACGCGAGGUCGUCAGGCCCUCGUGUCCAGGGCCCAGGUUGAAAUGGCCCCGGUCCAGGCGCAGCCAUUUGGGGGUGAGUCCCGGAGGUCACGGAGGCAGGCGGCCCUGGGCACCCGGAGAAACCGAAUCUUCCCCCGGGGGAGGCCUGGCGCUCGGCUCUUGCUGGGGGCUCAGAAGCUACAGCCCGUGACGCAGCCCAGCGCCCAGCCUAUUCGCCCAGCAGAUCCCGCCCGGUGCCGGGUGCCGGGUGCCACACGUCGGCUGCAUGCAGGGACAGCCCGCUGUCCAGCGGCCCCGCUGACGCCUGGGACCCGCGUCUCCAAAACGGCCAGGCUCCCAGCGCCCGUGCCCGCCUUGUGGCCCAGUGACUUCUGGGGGCCGAGGCGACCAAGGGGAGCCUAGCACGUCUCUCUGGAUCAGGAGUCUCAUUGUGCGUGUGCAAGAGCCAGCAUGUGACGGUCCCAGCAGGUCCCCAGGGCACGGAUCCCCGGGGGGAGGAGGCAGGCGGAGAGGCUGCCCUGCAGGCACAGCAGCCCCUGAGGCCCGAGGCCCCUGGAGCGCCAGCCCUGCUCCCUUCCCACUCCACAGGAGACUCAGGGGACACGGGGACAAGCCUGGAGUUUCAGCUCUCCGCGGCACCUCGAGCCCGAGACACGGGGGAAGGUGGUGUGGAGGUGCAGCGCUUCAGGCCGGGGUGCAGAGCACACCCCGAGACUCCAGACCAGGCCUCCCGCCCUCGACGGCCUGUGGAGCGCGCACUAGGGGGUCCGGAAAGGCAGGGACGGCAGCCGUCAGGAUGGGGCAGGUGCAGCGCUCCGGGUCCGGGUGGCAUUUCCAGUCGAGAGGAACCCUGGAAGUUGGCGGGAGGCAGGGAGCAGCGAACACGGUAAGGCGCCCACGGGUGGGCUCUGGACGGGAGGGGUCGCGUCAUCCUCAAGGGCCAGGCCCCUGGGUGCCCAUGAGGCAGCGGCCGCACCGCUCAAACCCUCCCUCCGGGACCCGACGCCAGGGCACCGAGGGCAGAGCGGGUGGAGGAGGGUCAAGCGGACAGAGGGCCCCUUGGGACCGGGGAAGCGUCAGGCAAUGGAAGCCGGGGACACAGAGAGCAUCUACGCGAGGAGCUUUAUUUUCUUUCAUUGUAUUUAUUUGAGACAGAGCACAAGCGAGGUCACGAGGGGGGGUGGGGAGACGAGGGCCACACGCCCCGUGGAGCCCCCAGACCCCCCAUUGGGACCGGAGCCCCAGCCGCCCACGCCCCUACACGAGGAAGUGCCCAAGGGGACUUGGUCCUCGUAAGCCUGGCAGGGGGGCGAGCUCGGCCACACGGAAGGGCAGGAGGCCGGGGGUCUGGGUGCAGGAAACUGCGGAGGCACGAAGAGGAGCUGAGGUUCCCGGAGCCGGGCCAAACAGGGGGACCCUGGCCAGCUGACCCGGGAACUGGAUCAGGGCGACGGGAGGCUCCUCACUCCCUCCCCAUCCUUGGAAUGGGGGUUCCACUUGCCUUUUCACACCCAGAGGCUGCUCCCAGGAGGACACAGCCCUGACAUAGCCAUGUGGCGCUGAGAACACCUGCGGGGGCACGUGACAGCCCAGGGAGGGCCUCUCUGGACACCACCCCUUAGGCUCCAGGUGGGCGGGUGCCGGGGCGUGGGCUCCCUUCCCUUAUUCCCCCUGCCCCCCCACCGCGUGGCCUGCCGUCCCCACGAGGGGCCCGUUCCGGG